AUUGAACGCUGGCGGCAGGCCUAACACAUGCAAGUCGAACGAGUGGCGGACGGGUGAGUAAUGUCUGGGAAACUGCCCGAUGGAGGGGGAUAACGACUGGAAACGGUAGCUAAUACCGCAUACCAUCGGAUGUGCCCAGAUGGGAUUAGCUAGUGGGUGGGGUAACGGCCAACCUAGGGGACGAUCCCUAGCUGGUCUGAGAGGAGGACCAGCCAACUGGGAACGGUGACACGGUCCAGACUCCUACGGAAGGAAGCAUUGGGGAAUAUUGCACAUUGGGCGCAGUCCUGAUGCAGCCAUGCGGCGUGUAGGAAGAAGGCCUUCGGGUGGAAAAGUACUUUCAGCGAGGAGGCGUUACCGGCAGAAGAAGCACCGGCUAACUCCGUGCCAGCAGCCGCGGUAAUUC
rnacentral:rRNA from 1 species